GACGAACGCUGGCGGCGUGCUUAACACAUGCAAGUCGAACGAUGAAGAAAAGACUCGAAGCUUCGGCAGAAAUUCAUUUCGGAUUAGUGGCAGACGGGUGAGUAACGCGUGAGCAACCUACCUCUUACAAAGGGAUAGCCUCGGGAAACCGGGAUUAAUACCAUAUAACAUUGUGACGAAGCAUUUCGAUGCAAUCAAAGCUACGGCGGUAAGAGAUGGGCUCGCGUCCCAUUAACCGGAUGGUGAGGUAACGGCUCACCAUAGUGACGAUGGGUAACCGGUCUGAGAGGGUGAACAGUCACACUGGAACUGAGACACGGUCCAGACUCCUACGGGAGGCAGCAGUGGGGAAUAUUGCACAAUGGAGGGAACUCUGAUGCAGCGACGCCGCGUGAGUGAUGAAGGAAUUCGUUUCGUAAAGCUCUGUUAUAUGGGAAGAAAAGGACUGUACCAUAGGAGAAAGCUCCGGCUAAAUACGUG
rnacentral:rRNA from 1 species